GACCGCGUAACUCAGUUGGCAGAGCAUUGGGCUAGUAUUCCAAAGGUCGUAGGUUCGAUUCCCGCCGUGGCCA
rnacentral:tRNA from 1 species